rfam:Triticum aestivum genome assembly, contig: Triticum_aestivum_CS42_TGACv1_scaffold_223496_3B
UUUAUACUCUCUCCGCCCCAAAAUUCUUGUCUUAGAUUAUUCUAGAUACAGAUGUAUCUAAUACCAAAACGUGACUUGAUACAUCCGUAUUUAGACAAAUCCAAGACAAGAAUUUUGGGACGGAGGGAGUAUUUC